CAGUUUGGCAGACAAAAGUAGAUCAACAGGAGGAAGAACACAGCAAGCUAGGCAGUAUAUGGAAGAAAGGAGAAGUCAACGUUUCAGGAGAACGACACACCACACCUACCCAAGAGGCAGCGAGCUCCUGAAGGAAUGAGAGGUUUUAAGAAAGAAGCGACGAGCUGUCUACUAGGAGAUCCAAUGAAGUAAACAGCUUGUGAGGGGAGAGAUAAUGGGAACUGCAGAUGCUGGAGAAUCCAAGAUAACAAAGUGUGAAGCUGGAUGAACACAGCAGGCCAAGCAGCAUCUCAGGAGCACAAAGGCUGACGUUUUGGGCCUCGACCCUUCAUCAGAAAAGGGGGAUGGGGAGAAGAUGUUAUUCUUUUGGGACAGUUAAUUUAGUAAUAGGUAUUGUAUCUAUUAUUGUGUUAAGUUU